GAUGAACGCUAGCUACAGACUUAACACACGCAAGUCGAGGGGAAACGAUAUUGGAAGCUUGCUUCCGAUAGGCGUCGACCGGCGCACGGGUGAGUAACGCGUAUCCAACCUGCCCACCACUUGGGGAUAACCUUGCGAAAGUAAGACUAAUACCCAAUGAUAUCUCUAGAAGACAUCUGAAGGAGAUUAAAGAUUUAUCGGCGAUGGAUGGGGAUGCGUCUGAUUAGCUUGUUGGCGGGGUAACGGCCCACCAAGGCGACGAUCAGUAGGGGUUCUGAGAGGAAGGUCCCCCACAUUGGAACUGAGACACGGUCCAAACUCCUACGGGAGGCAGCAGUGAGGAAUAUUGGUCAAUGGACGAGAGUCUGAACCAGCCAAGUAGCGUGCAGGAUGACGGCCCUAUGGGUUGUAAACUGCUUUUAUAAGGGAAUAAAGUGAGUCUCGUGAGACUUUUUGCAUGUACCUUAUGAAUAAGGACCGGCUAAUUCCGUGCCAGCAGCCGCCGUAA
rnacentral:rRNA from 1 species